rnacentral:lncRNA from 1 species
UUGUAUCCCCAAGCUAAAGGCAUAGUAUAUGCACUCAAGGAAAAGGGGAUUGACAUGGCCAUUGCUUCUAGAUCACCAACCUCAGAUAUUGCAAAGACAUUUAUUGACAAACUAAAUCUCAAGCCAAUGUUUGUAGCACAGGUGAGUCAGCAAGAACUAAGAAUCGUUUUUUUUUUUCUUUUAAAAUCUUUACUGUGCAAUGAGUAACAGGGUCAACCAAUUGUGUUUCUUACUCGAGAACAUGACUAGCAGGGUCAUAGUUUAGUAGAACAUAGUUCUGAAAGGGAAGGAGAAAGAUGUAGCGUCUAACACACAGGGUUUGUAAAGUGUUGGAUACCGAAUUGUUUCUUGGAAUGGCUCAUGAUGUUGAGGAUUAAUUUAGUGCCUAAUAACUUGAUUUGAGUGAUGAGCCUGUUGAGUUUCAUCAUAUCAAAUAGGUAAGAAACUCUUAAGUCUAUUGUGUUUCUGAUGAUCCUUUUACACGAUCUGUAUUUCUGGGUCACUUCUGCUUAGUAUAAGUGGCUGGUGCUUGCCUUUGAUGAGAAACGAGGAAUUAGGAGUUACCUGUUUGUGCCAAAAAGAUUGGAAUGUUCUAUCAUUCUGCUAGCUCGGAGUUCUAUUUUCCGGUCACCGUUGUCUUGGAGACUGUUUUGUUUUCCAUGUUGCUUUUGUAUGCACUUCAUGUUCCCCAUAUGAAAUUAUAUUCAUCUAUCAUCAAGAGGAACUACUGCUUUGUUUGGCUUACAUGGUGAGUGAUUUUUUCUGACUAUUCAGGAAAUAUUUUCCAGUUGGACUCACAAGACAGAUCAUUUCCAGAGGAUUCAUUCGAGGACUGGGAUACCCUUUAACUCCAUGCUUUUUUUUGAUGAUGAGGAUAGGAACAUUCAAUCGGUAAAAACAAAACUUUCCUGCUUCCCCUGUCUUCUAAUUUUAUGAGUUGGAUCCUUACAUCUUGUAUUUUUUUUGUAAUGAACUGCCAAUUUCCCUGUAGAGUCCUCUGUUCCGUUUAAAAGAAUUUCUUUGUGAACAGGUUUCAAAAAUGGGAGUGACUAGCAUUCUGGUUGGUGAUGGGGUCAAUCUUGGAGCACUAAGACAGGGGCUCACAGAAUUUUCUCAAAAUGCUAGUAAAUCUGAGAAGAACAAGCAGAGGUGGCAGAAAUAUUCACAAAAUCCAAAUUCAUCUGAGAAGAAAGAUGAAGAUUGAACAUUUUGCACAUGCGCAAACGGAACUGGAGAUUAAGGCAAUGAAAUUGUUACCAGGCAAGGGUUGAAUUUGGGAGGACACAUUUUAUUCGUAUAAAUUAAGAUCUAUUGUUGUAUUAUUUAUACCACAAGAACUCCUCAAGAGUGUUUAAUUCUGGUACAUCUUCCCACAUUAAAUCAAGAGCAUUGAGCUUGUAUACAUGAUUUUGAUUCAUGAUUUAUCUCCCAUUCUUGUUCUGAAAUGGAUGCAAUUGUAGUUCACGGUUUAUUGCUGAUGCUGCCUGAUUACCUUAAUUCGUGUUCAUUUAUAUCCCAUCAUUUAAUUGUAGCUCACAUUUCAUUACUCAGCAUCACUUGAUGCAGCUGCUUCUCUCUGAUCAUCUAGAACCAUGUAACGGUGACAUAAACUCUUGAAUCAAAGGAUAUAGGCUGUUCUCUUUUAAUUCCCCAAGGAGAAACAUGUCUCAAGGAUUACGCAUGCAAAAUCCCUAUAAUUUUUUAUUCCAGAACUACAAUUGACUGUUUGUCUAAAUUUUCAUCAUUUGUCAAAGCAUUCAAGGUCUGUCAACUAAACUUGGGUGACUAAUUCACAAGUGUAAUUUACCCUGCAGAGCUAUAAAGUGGCAUUUUAUGGUCUGUGACUUGAUGAUAAUGAUCCGAAGAACAUGAGCAGCAAUUGCUGGCUAUGGGCAUCAACGAUGCUUUCUCUACCUCUCUGUAACAUGCCGUUUAUUCAAAGCAAUUACGUGUUCUAAUAGUGCUGCAUCACAUGGAAUUGUAAGAGGUCCAUCGCCAGACAAACCAUACUCUUCUUCUGCCAAUUUGAGUAGCUUUCUGAGAAUUUUGCUGUGUAGUUAUUCCCAAGGAAGCAAAAGUCGUUUCUGAUACACCACAAAAUGACCCUUCUCAGCUGGUGCGACAACUGCUUGUGUCUGUUCUCCCAAAGGGUUGUGGCAGAGUGCUUGUUUUUCUCAUAGUAGCAGCUAGUUUCUUCCCUCCCCUUGCCAAUUUGAUGAUCAUCUUGGUACUGAUCAUAAAAACAACAACAUAAAAAGAAAUUAAUGAGAUAAACAACAAUGGGCUGUCAACUCCCCAAAGCGAGUGCCUUUUCACCAAUCCAUUAGUUUAUCCAAGCAGCCAAAAAUCAAAGAUGCAGAACAAGGAAUUGAAGAACAUAAUGUUACACAUGAAGAUCUCGAAACAUUACAUUAUAACUAGAUUACAAUUACAGAUAUCUAAAAUAGCUAGGAAGUCGUUGUAAUGAUCUACAAUACACAAAACUGUUUUUCUUCCAAUUUUGUUCUCAAGUUUUUUUUUCAAUUGCAGUCUUCUAUGACUAGAUUGUUGACCUUUUUUAAAAAAAAAAUGUUAAGGAAAUAAAAAUUUCAAUCAAAGAGGAUUAAAGUGUGAAAUAAAAAAAAACAUCAUGACCAAUCUUAAAUUCAUGCAAAAAAAGUAAUUUUUAGUCCACUUAUUUUUCUUUUUCUGAUUUUACAGACCCUAUAGUUUUUGAAAUUUUAGUUCUGAUUCAAAAGUUCAUUUUAUUUGUUUUUCAGUUCUUUAGUGUGAGAUAGAAGAGAGAAAAUCAUCGGAUAACAGCGAAACAAAGAAGCUGUCGUUGAUCACAUUUCCUACAAAAAAGAGUCUAAUCUUGGUGUUAACAGAUUCAUUAAAUUGUUUUUAGAUCUUCUUCUCGUCAGAAAAAAUGGAUCGAUGUUGAGAGAAUUUUUAUCGGUUUGAUUUUGUGCUUUUAGAUUGAUUUAAAGGUGUUUUAGGUUGGAAAAUUGAUUUAUUAAGAUAGUAAGGGUGUAUUUUAGUUGUUUUCGAUGAAAAUUGGCUUAAAAAAAAUGAUGUUUUCAACCCAAAAAAACUCUAGUCUAGAUUUUUUGACAGUCUUUCUAAUGACUAGGAAUCUAGAAUAGUAAACGACAUGUGAUCUAUAUUUUUUUUUUUUUUACAUGAAGGCCAUUAUAAAUAGAAAAAGAAAAAAAGAAAGGCCAAGUACUUGGGUUUAGCUUACAGCAAUCUAAGAUCGGAACUCACCUCUUUUGUUUUUUUUUUUUUUUAGUAAAUUUUUUGAAUGCAUUAAAUUUUUUGAAUAUUAUAUUUAAGUUAUUAUUCAAUUUACUCAUAGUUCUCAAAUAAUAUUAUAGGCUUUUAUCUAACAUUUAUUUUUCAAUUAUUAUGUGCAUAAUGUGAAAAAAAAAGUAUCAUGGUUAAAUUAAAAUUUAUGUUUUUUAAAAUUUUUAAUCAAUUUUUUAUAUAAUUCAAUAUAGAAUUUCCAAUGUAUUAUUUUUUUUAAUUUUUAAUUACAUUCCCUUCAUAAUAAUGAAAACAUUUUUUUUAAAAAAUUGCUCUUAUGAUUUUGAUAAUUCUUUUUUAACAGAUAAAUAUUCAGAUAAACAAAUUGCCAAAAAAGGUAUAAUCAAUGCAUUUCUGCAGCAUCAAUUUACUUAUUUUUAAUCAUAACUUGAGUAGAUAUAAAUGGGGAGGUAUUAGAAAAAAGCCCUUUCCCUUGCUCCCAUCUUGACCUUUCCACCAUCAAGCCUUGCUAAGUUAAUUAACAGUUAAAGCAAGAUCUAAUGGCUGUCUUAGAGAAAGCUCCCUGAUCUGUGUUCAUCUCAGCCUCACAUCCUGGCUGGGUUCAUCUUCUUUCUGAUGAAGUAAAAUUUGCACUACUUUGAGGGAUGCAUCUGCUCAUGAUUUGAUAGAGAGAGUCUUGGGUGUACUCUUGUGUAAAUUAUAAUUUAGACCCUUUGAUUUUAUUGAUUUUGUAAAAUUAUAGCCUAUGUCUUUUAACCAAAGUUGAUUGUUUCCUCUCUCUAUGUAACAUGUGUUACAUUCUUUGAUUUUAUUGAUUUUAUAAGAUAAUAACCUAAGUUUUUUAACCAAAGUUGACUGUUAAUUCCUUUUUAAAUGUAUGUGUUUUGGGCGUAGUCUUUAGUAAUAUAACAAGGGAUAAGUAAUGGUUUGCUAAGUUCCCCUCUCUAUGUAAAACGUGUCACACACUUUGAUUUUAUUGAUUUUGUAAAAUUAUAACCUAAGUUUUUUUUUUUAUCAAAGUUGACUGUUAAUUCUGUUUAAAAAUAUAUGUAUUUUAGGCUUAGUCUUUAGCAACAUAACAAGGGAUAAUUAAUGGUUUGCUCAAGUUCUUCUCUCUACGUAACAUGUGUCAUACCUUUUGAUUUUAUUGAUUUUGUAAAAUCAUAACCUAAGUCUUUUAAUCAAAGUUGACUGUUAAUUCUUUUUUAAAUGUAUGUGUUUUGGGCUUAGUCUUUAGCAACAUAACAAGGGAUAAUUAAUGGUAUGCUCAAGUUCUUCUCUCUACAUAACAUGUGUCACACCCUUUGAUUUUAUUGAUUUUGUAAGAUCAUAACCUAAGUUUUUUAACCAAAGUUGACUGUUAAUUCUUUUUUAAAUAUAUGUGUUUUGGGCUUAGUCUUUAGCAACAUAACAAAGGAUAAUUAAUGGUUUGUUCAAGUUCUUCUCUCUACGUAACAUGUGUCACACCCUUUGAUUUUAUUGAUUUUGUAAAAUCAUAACCUAAUUUUAUUUUUUUUUAUCAAAAAUGACUGUUAUUUUUUUUUAAAUGUAUGUGUUUUGAGCUUAAUCUUUAACAAUAUAACAAGGAAUAAUUAAUAAUUUGCUCAAGUUCUCCUCUCUAUAUGACACGUGUCUUUUCAAAUAUACUAACUUCAUCAUCCCUCAAAGGAUUGAAAAAACAAAGAGUCUAAACAAUGUUUAUAGUUAGUGGAUCUCUUACCUCCCCUAUUUUAUACGAGAAAUGCUAAAUAAUGGGAAAAAAACAACGUUCUUAAAUAUAUUAGUGAUGAAUGUCAAACAUUAUGUUCUAUUUUGCUUUUGUUUUUGUUUAUAUAUAUAUAUAUAUAUAUAUAUAGUUAUUGAAGGAUAUUCUUGUUUUGUUUUGUUUUAUUAGAAUAUUUGAACGAUAAAGAUUGUAACUUUGGUGUAUUAUUGUAUUUUUGUUCUUAUGUUUGUUAACGCCAAGAUGAGAUUUUUAGUUUCAACAUUAAAUUAUUUCAGUUUAGUUUUGAGUGACUCCAUUGAUAUCUUAAAAUACACUAAUUUGCAGUGAAAAGUACAUGUGAAUUCAAUUAUUUUUUUAUUUGUUUUUAUUUAUGUUUUUAAAAUUUUAAAAAACCUAGAUAUUUUAAGCUGAUUUAUUUGGAAAUAUUAUUUAUUUUAAUAUGUUAUUUUAAAUAUAAAAAUUAUAAUAAGUUAUUUAAAUUUAUUUAUGAAUUGAAUUGAAUUCUUCAAGAGUUCAUAUAUAUAUAUAUAUAACCAUAUGAGCUUCACUAACUACUUAAUCAUGAAGGAAUGAUCUGAUUGAGAAUUUAUCAAUACAUUAAGGACCUAAUUGAGAAAGAAAAUAGAUUGGGUCCUAUAAAUUAUUGGCUUGUUUUGGGCCCUGACCAUAAAAAUUCAGAAGUCCACCUGAACAUUGUGUUUUCUUUGUCAAACAAAUACCAAUCACCGAGCGACCAAACGCUUAAAAUUGUCUCAAAUUCUUUCGGAAAGGCAAAAGCAAGCAGAAAGAUGGGAGACGAGACGGUGAAAAACGAUGCUUUGCAAAUUAUUGGAAUGUUUCAAGUGCUGCCUAGAUUGGUCGUCUUCGAUCUAGAUUACACUCUCUGGCCUUUCUAUUGGUACCUUUCUUUCUUUACAGCCACAUGCAUGAAGACAUAAAGUUGUGUCAAAUAUUAUGUUCCUUUUGUCAUGCUUUCUUGUUUAAUGUUGUUAUUUUCAUGUGGGUUUCUCACGCUUUGCUCUGCUUUUGUGUUCCUGGGAAACUUUCUUGUUAAAAAUUGUAACUUGGUAUUAUAUGUUUGUGUUAUUUAUCAAGAUUGUUAGUAUCAGGAAAUUUUUUUUAAAUUAAAAUCUGAAUUACUGGAGAGCUGAAAUGGACUUGCUAGUAUGUUGGAAAAAAUGUUUGUAGUUUUAAUGAGAAUUUGUUUUUAAUUUCUUGGAGGGUACUUUUAAUGUUGUUUGAAUUGAAGCCUUGAAGUUAGUUUGUAAUAUGGUGUUGAUUGAAUGUGGGUUGAGUUGUUCAACUUAGUAUUUAGCCCUUCAUCGUUCACGCACCUCAUUGUAUGUAAUAUAAGUAAUUUGACAAUUAAUUUUGCAGCUAAUGUUUUUUCUACACAUUUAAUAACGUUUGAAACAUCAGUGGAAGCAAAACAUUCAGCAGUUGAUCGCGCUGGUACAUUCAACUUUUGCAUCUUACCUGCAUAUAAUGAUACUAAUGCCCUAUUUGGUCUUUAGAACCUUGCAUUAGUUUAAUAAAAAAAAAGUACUAUCUUUGUAGUACUUGAUUAUUUAAACAUUAGAAUGGUUUCUUUUUAUUUUCUCCUUGUGCCAAUGUUUUUUUGGUUCUUCAUGGUCUAAAUUUUGAUUCAAUUAUGGUUGUUAUUCAGCGAUUGUCUCUCCAAGCGUGAAAUGCCAUCCUUGUAUCCCCAAGCUAAAGGCAUAGUAUAUGCACUCAAGGAAAAGGGGAUUGACAUGGCCAUUGCUUCUAGAUCACCAACCUCAGAUAUUGCAAAGACAUUUAUUGACAAACUAAGUCUCAAGCCAAUGUUUGUAGCACAGGUGAGUCAGCAAGAACUAAGAAUCGUUUUUUUUUCCUUUUAAAAUCUUUACUGUGCAAUGAGUAACAGGGUCAAUCAAUUGUGUUUCUUACUCGAGAACAUGACUAGCAGGGUCAUAGUUUAGUAGAACAUAGUCCUGAAAGGGAAGGCGAAAGAUGUAGCGUCUAACACACAGGGUUUGUAAAGUGUUGGAUACCGAAUUGUUUCUUGGAAUAGCUCAUGAUGUUGAGGAUUAAUUUAGUGCCUAAUAACUUGAUUUGAGUGAU